AGUGAAGCGGGAAGAGCUCAAGCUUAAAAUCUCCGUGCAAGUUUUGCGCGGCGAAUUGUAGUCUAUAGAGGCGUGGUCAGCGUGGGCGCUUGGGGCAAGUUCCUUGGAAGAGGACAGCAUGGAGGGUGAUACUCCCGUUCAUCCCUGAGUGGCUCGUGCGUACGACCCGUGUUCUUUGAGUCGCGUUGUUUGGGAAUGCAGCGCAAAGUAGGUGGUAAAUUCCAUCUAAAGCUAAAUAUUGGUGCGAGACCGAUAGCGAACAAGUACCGUGAGGGAAAGAUGAAAAGAACUUUGAAAAGAGAGUUAAAGAGUACCUGAAACUGCUGAAAGGGAACCGAAUCGUUUCCAGUGUCUAUAAUCCGUGGCAUAUUUCAUUGGCGAGUGUGCGCGUGCGUGUGCUGUGGCAGCGGCUUUUUUGGCUGCGCUCGGUCCGUGUGCUGUGUGUGCUUGCUGGUGCCCUGUGCUGCGGUGGGACGUCAAGGUCAGUUCGUAUGCUGCGGGAAAUGGCUGCCGAGGAGGUAGGGCUUACGCUCCGCGUUUGUCUGUUAUAUCUUGGUGGACGAGUCGUCGCGGUUGGGACUGAGGUGCCUACAACGUGCUUUUGAGUGGGUUUGUGUCUCCGUGUGCGCCGUGUGCGGAUAGCUUGCUAUGCGUGUGUGGUUGUGUGUGGAUUGAUGCGGGCUUUAACUUGUCGCCGUUCGGGACGUUGACGAAAUGGAGCGAUCCGACCCGUCUUGAAACACGGACCAAGGAGUCUAACAUGUGUGCAAGUGUUAGGGUGUGGAAACCCCAGCGCGAAAUGAAAGUGAAGGGCAGCGCAAGUUGUCUGAGGUAGGAAACGUUGCGGGCUUCGGUCUGCGGCGUGGCACUAUCGACCGAUCAUGAACCUUCGUGGUGAAAGAUUUGAGUUUGAGCACAUAUGUUGGUACCCGAAAGAUGGUGAACUAUGCCUGAGUAGGGUGAAGCCAGGGGAAACUCUGGUGGAAGCUCGUAGCGAUUCUGACGUGCAAAUCGAUCGUCAAACUUGGGUAUAGGGGCGAAAGACUAAUCGAACCAUCUAG
rnacentral:rRNA from 1 species